rnacentral:rRNA from 1 species
GCUGACGAGUGGCGGACGGGUGAGUAAUGUCUGGGAAACUGCCUGAUGGAGGGGGAUAACUACUGGAAACGGUAGCUAAUACCGCAUAACGUCGCAAGACCAAAGAGGGGGACCUUCGGGCCUCUUGCCAUCGGAUGUGCCCAGAUGGGAUUAGCUAGUAGGUGGGGUAACGGCUCACCUAGGCGACGAUCCCUAGCUGGUCUGAGAGGAUGACCAGCCACACUGGAACUGAGACACGGUCCAGACUCCUACGGGAGGCAGCAGUGGGGAAUAUUGCACAAUGGGCGCAAGCCUGAUGCAGCCAUGCCGCGUGUAUGAAGAAGGCCUUCGGGUUGUAAAGUACUUUCAGCGGGGAGGAAGGGAGUAAAGUUAAUACCUUUGCUCAUUGACGUUACCCGCAGAAGAAGCACCGGCUAACUCCGUGCCAGCAGCCGCGGUAAUACGGAGGGUGCAAGCGUUAAUCGGAAUUACUGGGCGUAAAGCGCACGCAGGCGGUUUGUUAAGUCAGAUGUGAAAUCCCCGGGCUCAACCUGGGAACUGCAUCUGAUACUGG